rnacentral:rRNA from 1 species
CAAUCGAAGAGUUUGAUCAUGGCUCAGAUUGAACGUUGGCGGCAGGCUUUAUACAUGCAAGUCGAACGGUAACAGCGGAAGCUUGCUUCCGGCUGACGAGUGGCGGACGGGUGAGUAACGCGUAGGAAUCUACCCUGUAGUGGGGGAUAACCCGGGGAAACUCGGGCUAAUACCGCAUAUGUCCCUUGGGACAAAGGGGGCCUCUGACUCUUCGGAGAAAAUGCUCUCGCUAUAGGAUGAGCCUGCGUCGGAUUAGCUAGUUGGUGGGGUAAUGGCCUACCAAGGCGACGAUCCGUAGCUGGUCUGAGAGGACGACCAGCCACACUGGAACUGAGACACGGUCCAGACUUCUACGGAAGGCAGCAGUAAGGAAUUUUGGACAAUGGGCGCAAGCCUGAUCCAGCCAUGCCGCGUGUGUGAAGAAGGCCUUAGGGUUGUAAAGCACUUUCAGGGGUGAAGAAAAUCUCGGAGUGAAUACCUCCGAGCCUUGACGUUAACCCCACAAGAAGCACCGGCUAACUCCGUGCCAGCAGCCGCGGUGAUACGGAGGGUGCGAACGUUAAUCGGAAUUACUGGGCGUAAAGCGCGCGUAGGCGGUUUGUUAAGUGAGGUGUGAAAGCCCCGGGCUCAACCUGGGAACUGCAUUUCAGACUGGCAGACUAGAGUUUGGUAGAGGAAGGUGGAAUUCCCUGUGUAGCGGUGAAAUGCGUAGAUAUAGGGAAGAAUACCAGUGGCGAAGGCGGCCUUCUGGAUCAAAACUGACGCUGAGGUGCGAAAGCGUGGGGAGCAAACAGGAUUAGAUACCCUGGUAGUCCACGCCGUAAACGAUGAGAACUAGCCGUUGGGGCCCUUGAGGCCUUAGUGGCGUAGCUAACGCGAUAAGUUCUCCGCCUGGGGAGUACGGCCGCAAGGUUAAAACUCAAAUGAAUUGACGGGGGCCCGCACAAGCGGUGGAGCAUGUGGUUUAAUUCGACGCAACGCGAAGAACCUUACCUGGUCUUGACAUCCUGCGGACCAUUCAGAGAUGAAUGGGUGCCUUCGGGAGCGCAGUGACAGGUGCUGCAUGGCUGUCGUCAGCUCGUGUCGUGAGAUGUUGGGUUAAGUCCCAUAACGAGCGCAACCCCUAUCCUUAGUUGCCAGCGGAAUUAUGCCGGGUACUCUAAGGAGACUGCCGGUGACAAACCGGAGGAAGGCGGGGACGAGGUCAAGUCAUCAUGGCCCUUACGGGGUGGGCUACAAACGUGCUACAAUGGCCAGCACAAAGGGUUGUUAGCCCGCGAGGGUGCACUAAUCCCAAAAAACCGGUCGUAGUCCGGAUUGGAGUCUGCAACUCGGCUCCAUGAAGUCGGAAUCGCUAGUAAUCGCGAAUCAGAAUGUCGCGGUGAAUACGUUCUCGGGUCUUGUACACACCGCCCGUCACGUCAUGGGAGUUGGUUGCACCAGAAGUAGCUAGUCUAACCUUCGGGAGGACGGUUACCACGGUGUGAUUGACGACUGGGACGAAGUCGUAACAAGGUAGCCGUAGGGGAACCUGCGGCUGGAUCACCUCCUUA